rnacentral:tRNA from 1 species
GCGGAUGUGGCGAAAUGGUAGACGCGCAUGCCUAAGGAGCAUGUGGGGAAACCCUUGGAGGUUCGAGUCCUCUCGUCCGCACCA